GAAAUAAAAGAUCAAAGAAUAAGCUUCUAACUUAAUUCUAAAGCAGUGAAACUCUGUUUAUAUUUCU
rnacentral:tRNA from 1 species